rnacentral:rRNA from 1 species
GAUGAACGCUGACAGAAUGCUUAACACAUGCAAGUCUACUUGAAACACUUCCGGGUGUGGAUGGUGGCGGACGGGUGAGUAACGCGUAAAGAACUUGCCCCUUAGCCUGGGACAACUGUUGGAAACGACAGCUAAUACCGGAUAUUAUGAAGAGAUGGCAUCAUCUUUUUAUGAAAGCUAUAUGCGCUAAGGGAGAGCUUUGCGUCCUAUUAGCUAGUUGGUGAGGUAAUGGCUCACCAAGGCGACGAUAGGUAGCCGGCCUGAGAGGGUGAACGGCCACAAGGGGACUGAGACACGGCCCUUACUCCUACGGGAGGCAGCAGUGAGGAAUAUUGGACAAUGGACCAAAAGUCUGAUCCAGCAAUUCUGUGUGCUUGAUGAAGGCCUUCGGGUUGUAAAGAGCUUUAAGUAGGGAAGAAGAAAGUGACGGUACCUACAGAAUAAGCGACGGCUAAAUACGUGCCAGCAGCCGCGGUAAAAC